rnacentral:tRNA from 1 species
GCCUUGGUUGCUUAGUGGUUAAAGCCCUAUUUUGAAGAAGUAGUGACGGUAGUUCAAUUCUAUCCCAAGGCA